UAUAAAAUGGAGUCUGUACUCCCACAAAGCAUUGCAAACAUCACAUGGCAGGAAGUGUGGUGGUUCCAUGAGGUCAUAGGUUACAGAAAAUGAAUGGCUGCAUUUGCAGCAAACAGUCAGCAGAGGGAGUUCACUGCUAAUGAGCACAAUAAACAGCGAAAAUGAUGGAAGCUGUGCUGGAGACAUGACACAUACCAUCAACACGUAUACCCUGCCAAUUGUCAGAUACCCUGGCAGUAUAGCAAGAUGGCAGGAAGACAUGAAGUCUGCUGAUGUGAAGACCCAGAAGGUCCUCACUAUGUAUGAAAGUUUCCAGACCAAGUCCAACACCUAGAUAAUGUACCCCAGCUGGAAUAAGGAUGGGAGUGUCAAGGGUCCUGGAUAAAACACAUAGUAUCCAGCAGUACAUUGGUAAAAUGGCACCCAAAUAUGAGCCGCUGAGAGAGUGCCUGAGCCAGCAGCAGAUAUGGAAGGAAGAUCAAGCAGUAAAGUGCCAUAAGACACUGCAUGAAAUGUACCAUUGACAUGACUGAAAUUGGGAAAUCAUACCAGUGGCUGGAAAGGGCUGACAGGACCCAAGGCUGUUCAGAACCACAGGCUGUUCAGAGAGGCCUCUAUAAAGGCUCUGCAGGGUGUACUUAUGUUCUGCUGCCUGACAGACAGGAAAUAGUGUCUGACACAUCUUGACGUCUGUUCGGGAAACAAAACUGCUUGGAGAUUUACAUGAAAUGAAAAUUUGUUUGACGUUGUUUACAGAUAAGGAAUGAUUAACUGCUAUAUGCUGAAUCAUACAUCGUCACCCCACGCUAUCGGAGGACCCCAGAUGUCACGUGAUGUUUUGGAAAGUCCAGAAAUUCUGUUAUCGCAAGUGGUCAAGCGUCAGGAGAAGCUUCACGAAGAUGGACAGAUAAAGGGAAUAUUGGACAAGAUAUGGGGGCAGUGGGGGCUUUUGGAAAAGGCAUGAUACAUUUGUACAUUGUUUCCCCAUCGAUGUAAAUUAAAUCUUAUCUGAUUUCUUUAAG